rnacentral:rRNA from 1 species
AACGAACGCUGGCGGCAGGCCUAACACAUGCAAGUCGAACGCCCGUAGCAAUACGGGAGUGGCAGACGGGUGAGUAACGCGUGGGAACGUGCCCUUCGGUUCGGAAUAACUCAGGGAAACUUGAGCUAAUACCGGAUACGUCCGUAAGGAGAAAGAUUUAUCGCCGAAGGAUCGGCCCGCGUCGGAUUAGCUAGUUGGUGAGGUAACGGCCCACCAAGGCGACGAUCCGUAGCUGGUCUGAGAGGAUGAUCAGCCACACUGGGACUGAGACACGGCCCAGACUCCUACGGGAGGCAGCAGUGGGGAAUAUUGGACAAUGGGCGAAAGCCUGAUCCAGCCAUGCCGCGUGAGUGAAGAAGGCCUUAGGGUUGUAAAGCUCUUUCAGCGGGGAAGAUAAUGACGGUACCCGCAGAAGAAGCCCCGGCUAACUUCGUGCCAGCCACCGCCGUAA